ensembl:lncRNA
CACCUUCCAAUGUGGCAGAAUCUAUUAGAAAGCACAAAAGAUAUUUCAAAGAGAUUUUUUUUCUUUUUUGAGGAAGGUUAGCCCUGAGCUGACAUCUGCCACCAAUCCUCCUCUUUUUUGCUGAGGAAGACUGGCCCUGAGCUACCAUCCAUGCCCAUCCUCCUCUACUUUAUAUGUGGGACGCCCGCCACAGCAUGGCUUGACAAGUGGUGCAUAGGUCCGCACCUGGGAUCUGAACCUGCGAACCCCAGGCCACCGAAGUGGAACGUGUGAACUUAACCACUGCACCACUGGACCAGCCCGCAAAGAGUUUUAAAUAAGCAAUGAAAGAGAGCUCCUGUUGCUCCACAUUCUCCCCAACAUUUGGCGUUGUCAGUGUUGUGGAUUUUGGUCGUUCUAAUGGGCCCCUGGUACAUAGUUGUAUAUUCUUCGUUAUGGGUCCUUCUAGUUGUGGCAUGUGGGACACUGCCUCAGCGUGGUUUGAUGAGCAGUGCCAUGUCCAUGCCCAGGAUUCGAACCAACGAAACACUGGACCGCCUGCAGCGGAGCGUGCGAACUUAACCACUCGGCCACGGGGCCAGCCCCUCAAAUGCAAAUAUUUUUAAUUCUUAAUAAUGUAGCACAUUUCACUAGGGACAGAAAAGCCUAAAAAUAUUAUCUUUUAACAAAAAAAUGACUGGAAAGACAUUAAUAAAAUGUUAGUAACGGGAUCAUGGGUUGUUUUUAUUGUCUUCUUUAUACUUUUCAAUAUUUUUUCAAUUUUCUAUGACAAACCUGUCUUAAUUUCUUAUCAGAAAAAAAUGCAAAUAAUUUUCGAAGCAUCUACUAAAAUGUUAACUAAAAGCAGUAUCUUGCUUAAUUUCAAUUCAUUGAAUUAUAAUAUUAACAUUAAAUAUUUUCUUUUUCGUGUACUUGUUUUUAAUAAAAGAGAGAAUUGAAAAUUAUCUCUCUUUGGGUUAAUACUCUUGGAUAACAGACACUGAAGGUAUGUAUUUUUUCUUUUAUUAAAGACUUGUGCAAGGUCGUGUCUUUCCUGCUUUAUCUGAAAGCAUUAUAGCCUGGUGUUAAGUGUGUGGGCUCAUGUCUGAUUGCUGAAGUUCAUAGACCCAGCUCUGCCAUCUUCUCUUUUUUUUUUUUGAGGAAGAUUAUCCCUGAGCUAACAUCUGUGCCCAUCUUCCUCUAUUUUACAUGUGGGACACUGCCACAGAGUGGCUUGAUAAGUGGUGCAUAGGUCCAUGCCCGGAUCCCAACUGGCGAACCCUGGGCUGCCAACGUGGAGCAUGCGAACUUAACUGCUGUGCCACCAGGCCAGCCCCCCAGCUCUGCCAUCUUCUAGUCCGUGACUGUAGGUGACUGACUUACCCACUCUAAUUUUCAGUUUCCUCUGAAUUGAGGGUGAUAAUAGCAUCCAUAUUAAAAGGGUUGUAAAAAAGGCAAGUAAUUUUUAUGACGGUCAUUGCUAUGAUGUAUGAUUAAAUUGUUUUUGCUUUAUGUUUCUGUAGGUUGAGCAAUAUAGUUUAAAGAGAAUUUUGAAGGAUAUUUUACAUUAGAAAUCAGUGUUCUGAGCU